GCAAGUCGAGCGAGAAGGUUAAGAAUGAUUCUUCGGAUGAAUGAUUAACUAGAGAGCGGCGGACGGGUGAGUAACGCGUGGGUAACCUACCCUAUGGAGGGGGAUAACUAAGAGAAAUUUUAGCUAAUACCGCAUCAGCCGAAGAGUUCACAUGAACUCUUCGGGAAAACUCCGGUGCCAUAGGAUGGACCCGCGUCUGAUUAGUUAGUUGGUGAGGUAAGGGCUCACCAAGGCAACGAUGGGUAGCCGACCUGAGAGGGUGAUC
rnacentral:rRNA from 1 species